rnacentral:rRNA from 1 species
GGAGGGCGCAAGCGUUGUUCGGAAUCACUGGGCGUAAAGCGCGUGUAGGCGGCCGGGCAAGUCGGAUGUGAAAUCCCGAGGCUCAACCUCGGAACUGCAUUCGAAACUGCUCGGCUCGAGUCCCGGAGAGGAUGGCGGAAUUCCCGGUGUAGGGGUGAAAUCCGUAGAUAUCGGGAGGAACACCAGUGGCGAAGGCGGCCAUCUGGACGGUGACUGACGCUGAGACGCGAAAGCGUGGGGAGCAAACAGGAUUAGAUACCCUGGUAGUCCACGCCGUAAACGGUGAGUGCUAGACGUCGCGGGUAUUGACCCCCGCGGUGUCGAAGCUAACGCGUUAAGCACUCCGCCUGGGGAGUACGGCCGCAAGGCUAAA